rnacentral:lncRNA from 1 species
CAACCUCCAGUGCUCAUUCUUUCCAACAUCAAACACUAGAUCUCCCAAUAUCAGUUCACUUUGCUUCCCAAACAUUCGGUUAUUUCUUUCUUUCAUUAACUUCUUAAUUACUCUAAAUCACCAUCAUGGGUGUCUUCACAUAUGAAACUGAGCUCACCUCUGUCAUCCCCCCACCUAGAUUGUUCAAAGCUCUUGUUCUUGAUGCUGACAACCUGGUACCAAAGAUUGCUUCACAAGCAGUUAAAAGUGCUGAAAUUGUUGAAGGAGAUGGAGGUGUUGGAACAAUCAAGAAGAUUAGAUUUGGUGAAGGUUUGUUUACUUUCCACCACUCUCUCUCUCUCUCUCUCUCUCUCUCUCUCUCUCUACUAACUUAACUUGGUUUUUUAGUUUGAAAGCAGCAGUCUCUUAAUUUGUAACUUGUUUGCUUAAUUAACAUAAAUCCUGAAAGCUUUAAUCUCUUAAUUUCUAAUUAAUCGUCAUUUUACAGGAAGUGAAUACAGCUAUGUGAAGUACCGGAUUGACCGGCUUGACAAAGAUAACUUUGUGUACAGCUACAGUUUGAUUGAAGGAGAUUCUAUUACAGACAAGAUUCAGAAAAUCUGCUAUGAGAUUAAGUUGGUGGCAUCUGCUGAUGGAGGUUCCAUCAUAAAGAACACCAGCAACUACCACUCAAUAGGUGAUGUUGAUAUCAAGGAGGAGGAUGUUAAGGCUGGCAAAGAAAGAGCCUCUGGUUUGUUCAAGGUCGUUGAGAAGUACCUUUUGGGCAACCCUGAUGCCUACAACUAAACAUGUCUGUGAUACUACUGCACGUUUGGACAACAAUCUGUCAUUUUGUCCUUCUUUUUCUGUUUACUUAACGGUACGGUUUUAACUAGUGAUGUACUUGUAUUUGAUUUCAAUUGAUCAAUCAAGAAAAUUUGGAAGGAAUUUAUUUGAUUGUCUGUGCAACUGUAUGUGCAGAAUGAAUUCCACAUUAGUAUGUUCUAAGUUAAACAACAAUUCAACCACAAAGCAUUGGCAAUAAG